rnacentral:rRNA from 1 species
AGUGAACGCUGGCGGUAGGCCUAACACAUGCAAGUCGAACGGCGGCACAGUAAGAGCUUGCUCUUACGGGUGGCGAGUGGCGGACGGGUGAGGAAUACAUCGGAAUCUACUUUUUCGUGGGGGAUAACGUAGGGAAACUUACGCUAAUACCGCAUACGACCUACGGGUGAAAGCAGGGGAUCUUCAGACCUUGCGCGAUUGAAUGAGCCGAUGUCGGAUUAGCUAGUUGGCGGGGUAAAGGCCCACCAAGGCGACGAUCCGUAGCUGGUCUGAGAGGAUGAUCAGCCACACUGGAACUGAGACACGGUCCAGACUCCUACGGGAGGCAGCAGUGGGGAAUAUUGGACAAUGGGCGCAAGCCUGAUCCAGCCAUACCGCGUGGGUGAAGAAGGCCUUCGGGUUGUAAAGCCCUUUUGUUGGGAAAGAAAAGCAGCAGGUUAAUACCCCGCUGUUCUGACGGUACCCAAAGAAUAAGCACCGGCUAACUUCGUG